UCAUGUUAUUUUUAAAUAGCCGCAGAUCUUCUGUGCUAAGGUAGCACAAUAAAUAGUCUAUUAAUUAUAGAAUAGAAUGAAUGACUUCACGUUUUAAUUUAUCUCACUUAUUAUUAUAUAAAUUAUAUUUAAAAGUCAAAAUCCUUUAAUUUCACGAAAGACGAUAAGACCCUAUGAACUUAACUUAAUGUUUAACUGGGGCGGUUUUUUAAAAAUUUCUUAUUAUCACAAAUUACCAAAAAACCUAAACAAUAUUAUAUGUAAAAGUUACCUUAGGGAUAACAGCACUAUAUUUAUUUAAAGCUCAUAUUAAAAUAAAUAAUUGUGACCUCGAUGUUGAAUUAAAUUUUCCUACUAAGCAAAAAUAAAAUAAGAGAGUCUGUUCGACUU
rnacentral:rRNA from 1 species